GGAUGUGAGGGAGAGCUGGCUGCGACAUCUGUCACCCCAUUGAUCGCCAGGGUUGAUUCGGCUGAUCUGGCUGGUUAGGCGGGUGUCCACUUCCUCCCUCAACGCUCCAUGUGCGUCCCUCCCGAAGCUGCGUGCUCGGUCGAAGAGGACGACCACCCCCGAUAGAGGAGGACCGUUCCUCGGUCAAGGGUAUACGAGUAGCUGCGCUCCCCUGCUAGAACCUCCAAACAAGCCCUCAAAAAUCACUUUUAACACAUAGAAGAUUGAUUGAAUAAGCUGUUGGGAUUGUUUC
rnacentral:snRNA from 1 species